rnacentral:rRNA from 1 species
UACGGAGGGGGCUAGCGUUGUUCGGAAUUACUGGGCGUAAAGCGCACGUAGGCGGCUUUGUAAGUUAGAGGUGAAAGCCCGGGGCUCAACUCCGGAAUUGCCUUUAAGACUGCAUCGCUAGAAUUGUGGAGAGGUAAGUGGAAUUCCGAGUGUAGAGGUGAAAUUCGUAGAUAUUCGGAAGAGCACCAGUGGCGAAGGCGGCUCACUGGACUGGUAUUGACGCUGAGGUGCGAAAGCGUGGGGAGCAAACAGG